CACGUAGGGGGCAAGCGUUGUCCGGAUUUAUUGGGCGUAAAGAGCGCGCAGGCGGUCGAUUAAGUCGGAUGUGAAAGCCCCCGGCUCAACUGGGGAGGGUCAUUCGAUACUGAUCGACUUGAAGGCAGGAGAGAGAAGUGGAAUUCCCGGUGUAGUGGUGAAAUGCGUAGAUAUCGGGAGGAACACCAGUGGCGAAGGCGACUUCUUGGCCUGUUCUUGACGCUGAGGCGCGAAAGCUAGGGUAGCAAACGGG
rnacentral:rRNA from 1 species